GAUGAACGCCGGCGGCGUGCCUAAUACAUGCAAGUCGAGCGAGACUCUGCUGAAUGGAGAUUCGUCAAAAUGAAUCAGAGGAAAGCGGCGGACGGGUGAGUAACGCGUCGGCAACCUGCCAUUAGCAGAGGGUUAGCCAUUGGAAACGAUGAUUAAAACCCCAUACUGCUGGAACGUCACAUGUCAUUACAGCCAAAGAUUUAUCGGCUAAGGAUGGGCCUGCGUCUGAUUAACUAGUUGGUGGGGUAACGGCUCACCAAGGUGACGAUCAGGAGCCGACCUGAGAGGGUGAUCGGCCACAUUGGAACUGAGACACGGUCCAAACUUCUACGGAAGGCAGCAGUAAGGAAUCUUGCACAAUGGGGGAAACCCUGAUGCAGCAACGCCGCGUGAACGAUGAAGGCCUUCGGGUUGUAAAGUUCUGAUCUUAGGGAAGAAGAAGUGACGGUACCUAAGGAGAAAGCCCCGGCUAACUACGUGCCAGCAGCCGCCGUAAUAC
rnacentral:rRNA from 1 species